GUUAGGAAGCAAGUAAUACGCCUUUGCGGGGUUUUGAUCCUUUGGGGAGGGAGAAUUAAAAAUAAGCUCCCUGGAGAGGGUUUGAACUUUCGCCCUCGACACGAGUCUGACGAGUUACAGUCGCUACAGUCGCAGAUGGCAGUCUUCCGCCAUCAAUACUUUUUUUUGCUAGCUUUGAAGAAAAGUGAGGAAGAAUAGUGGAAGCAGAGCAGGAAAGCUAAUUUUAGCUUCAGAUUUCCUGGGACGAGAAAGAGCACUUGACAAGAGGGACACCAAAUAGCAUAGUACAGGUACUUUUCAAAUUUAUUUAUAAAAUGGUUCUUGGAUUUCAAACUUCACCUUUUUGCUAAUAUAUUUCCAAUCAUAUCCCACUCUUUUUGACCGCUUUAAGAAGUAAAGUGUAUUUUCUGUUGAAUAAAGUAUUUCCCUUUACUCACUGGGAAUCUUUAACCAGAACAUUAAUUUUGUGACUUUAAUUUUAUUUGCUUCAUUUUCCUCUGGCAGCUUUACUGAUGCUGUAAUGGAAACAUGUUUGCAUUACUUCAUCAUAUAUGCUAAGAAGUCAUUUGUGGGGUAAAUGUAAGCAUAUAGUUGUUACUAUGUGGAAAUCCAUAAAAAAUGUGGUUACUCUCUGAGUGUUAACUAAGACAAAUAAACCAUAAUGGCCAGAAGACAAUCUGCUGUCUUGGCAGCAUUUCAUGUGAAAAAUUAGUUGAUAUUUUUAUGGCAAUGUCACAGAUUUACUCAAAAUAUCCUCAUCCUUUGGGCAAUAGGGGGAAAACCCUAAAUAUUACACCAACUUGAUAAACUUAGUCUGUUGCAAUAAUUUAAUCAGUUCCUUUACAUUUAGGCUAAAGCAUUAAGCUUUUAAUAUUCCAUCUCUCUCAUUCUGCUCCUCUCAAAAUAACAUCUGGAAGGAAAAGAGGGAAGACCAGGGGUAGCUGACAUGAACUUGAGAAUGUCAGUCUUGGUACCUACAAGGUCUCCUUUGAAUUCUUGCUGGACUAUGCUGCAGGGAGGCUAAUUUUGGCUCCUUUCUGAAAUGCAAUGAGUGCUGGACAUUCU
rnacentral:lncRNA from 1 species